rnacentral:rRNA from 1 species
AUUGAACGCUGGCGGCAUGCCUAACACAUGCAAGUCGAACGAGUGGCGGAAGGGUGAGUAAUGUCUGGGAAACUGCCCGAUGGAGGGGGAUAACUAAUGGAAACGGUAGCUACUACCGCAUACCAUCGGAUGUGCCCAGAUGGGAUUAGCUGGGUGGUGGGGUAACGGCUCACCUAGGCGACGAGCCGUAUCUGGUCGUAGAGGAGGACCAGCCACACUGGGACUGAGACACGGCCCAGACUCCUACGGGAGGCAGCAGUGGGGAAUAUUGCACAAUGGGCGAAAGCCUGAUGCAGCCAUGCCGCGUGUAUGAAGAAGGCCUUCGGGUUGUAAAGCACUUUCAGCGAGGAGGCGUUACUCGCAGAAGAAGCACCGGCUAACUCCGUGCCAGCAGCCGCGGUAAUUC